UACGGAGAGUGCAAACGUUGUUCGGAUUCACUGGGCGUAAAGGGCACGUAGGCGGCUCGGCAAAUCGGUCGUGGAAUCUCGACGCUUACCGUCGAAACGGCGGCCGAAAAUACCGGGCUCGAGGGCGUGAGGGGUCACUGGAACUCCUGGUGAAGCGGUGAAAUGCGUAGAUAUCAGGAGGAACGCCGGAGGCGAAAGCGAGUGACUGGCGCGUUCCUGACGCUGAGGUGCGAAAGCUAGGGGAGCAAACGG
rnacentral:rRNA from 1 species